AAACACCAAGUGCCAUGAAACAGGAGAUUGAUCAACAAUAUCAGUCUCAUCACUUGGACCCUCAUUUGCCUCAAGCUCCAAGACCUGGUACCGUUAAUUAAAUAUCAUAGAACAUAUUAACCGAAGUUUAGAACUCAUUUAGCAUUAUUAUAUCAAUGACAGAAAUAUCAAAUAGGUCCUACGCGAUCACAUGAAAAUGAUGUGGGCAUAAUUCAUGUCCAAGACAAAAACAAAAUAACUUUACUCUACACAUAUAUACUCAUAUCUUUAUUCAAGUAAGUGAUCCAAAACAAUUUAUCUAUUGAAGAAGGAAAGAGUCAAAAUUUUAUAAUAUAUGGGAUGGUCAAUUAUUUCAUGUAAAGCUAGAGAGAGAUUAUGACCAAUUCAAUUAUACUUGUAGCUGCUGAAACCAGGUGAGAACACAACUUAUGUUAUAACAACUAUGUCGAUGAUCCAAUCUGGUCUACAACCAAAUGGGGCCCUAAACAAGUGACAUGUAAAGUACUAUCCAAACCAACAAGUCAUGACAUAAGGAACCUGUUCAUACCAAACUGAAAUUGAUUUGUCAUACCUAAGGUACAGAUCUUAUCUUAAUCUUUACACGGAGACUUUAUUUAAAUUGUAACCCAUAUUCUGUUGAUCUAAUUCACUGAAAUAUAUGAAGGAAAAGGGAAAACUCACCUGGCAAACGAGAAGCUGCUUUUGAUAUUGGAGCUUUGCUACUCGUUCUUUCAGCUCAGUAACAUAAGCUUUGAUGCUCUGUAUAUUCUCCUCAGCCGCUGUCUUGAACAUCUUCUGCAUUUUCUUUACAUUUACUGAGUUUGGUUGACAUGAUGCAGGAGUACUCUCCCUCGACGAUAUACAAUUAGCAUCCAUGUGAUUCUUAAGAGGAGUAGCCUUGUGCCUGAGGAUUGCGUGACUACCAGAGAUGGAAUCUUUACUCUCUGGGGCCCUGUUCUCGAUAUCAUAUUCCAUUAUUUUGCAUGAAGACGACAUAGGUGAGCAUGGAGAUCGUAUUAUAUGUGGCAUACUAUUAGUAUUGCUCAAGGUAAAAGGAAGGAUCUUUUUCCUUUUCAAUUGAGUCUUGUGCUCGGGAGUCUCCUCACCAGUUGGAAAAUACAGGACCCUGUCUAUGGAUUUCUGAACAUUCUCAAGCUUCUCUUCCAGAGAUGAAAUAUUGCUUCCUUCAGAAUUUAACCGAGUAAUCUCUUCCUUCAGGCUAGCUUUAUCCCUGAUCUCGAUUUCUUCAGAAACAAAAGUUACUGCAUGCAUGUCCUUUAUUUCUGAUAGAAGCUUUGCUAUGGUUUCAGUAGCCUCUUGACUCCCCAGUCUGUGAGAUGCAACCUCCUUGUGAAGCAAUUCGAGUGCAUGGGUUGCUUCUUCACCAAGCUGCCUCUGCG
rnacentral:lncRNA from 1 species